rnacentral:snoRNA from 1 species
CUGCUGCCAAUUAAGCCUACCAUUCUCCUUUGUUCAUGAGGAACGUGAUGUGCGGUGACUAUGAACAUCAGCCCCUUCAGGAGUGUACACAGGCUGUCAUUGGUACGGGUUACCAUAGGGGACCUUCAAGACAGAU